rnacentral:tRNA from 1 species
GGGGGUGUAGCUCAGUCGGUUAGAGCAUCGGACUCAUAAUCCGCCGGUCCACAGUUCAAGCCUGUGCGCCCCCA